rnacentral:tRNA from 1 species
CAGGGAGACAAACCUGAUGUGGAUGCCUAGGUUAUUAAUCCAAGGCCCAUGUCCUGUCACCUUAGGUCGAUCGGUACCUCAAGGAGCAAACGCCAGAGCCUGAGCGAUCAGGGGAGAGGCGUAGAGCUUUUUUCAGUUCCUAAACUUUGUCUAGGUCACCCCAAAGCUCCUGGGCCAUUAGCUCAGGUGGUUAGAGCGCACCCCUGAUAAGGGUGAGGUCCCUGGUUCAAGUCCAGGAUGGCCCAUUCGUGUUUGGGGGUUUAGCUCAGUUGGUAGAGCGCCUGCUUUGCAAGCAGGAUGUCAGCGGUUCGAGUCCGCUAACCUCCAUAUCAACGCGAACCCGCAAGCGCAAGCCAGCGAGCUGCCAGAACCGUGUGAAUGCGUGGGGAGGGUGAUCGAGAGAGGGUGCCCACAAUGGGAGAGGAGAGAAGCUGAGGAUGACUCCAGCCUUCAGGAUCCAGAGAGCAGCGUUGGCAGCAACGUUGCGAUUGGAUGUUGAAUGCUGGACUCACACCGGUCAAUGAAGGUUGAUUGGUGAGAUGUUCAGCGAAGAACCUUGACAACUGCAUAGGUGAGUCUGGAAAGAAAGCAUCUCAUGGAUGUCCAGUGAAAGCUGGAGAUUCUAUUGAGUUUAGAGCCGAGACUUUCCAGUGUUCUUCUGAGAAUCUAGCCAAUCCAGCUAGGUGAAGGGAGUUUGAUUGUGGCAUUCAAACCACGAGCCUGACGAAUAAAGAUCUACGCGAGUAGGGAUUUAGUAGUUGAGGUAAGCAGGUGAAUCCACGAGAAUAGGCCUCAACAGCCUGAAGCACUGGGAAGGAUAUU